rnacentral:rRNA from 1 species
ACACUGAGAAAUUGGUACUAAUACCCCAUAAUAUCUCAUGCGGCAUCGCAUGGGGUUGAAAACUCCGGUGGUUGAUGAUGGGCAUGCGUUGUAUUAGCUGGUUGGUGAGGUAACGGCUCACCAAGGCGACGAUACAUAGGGGGACUGAGAGGUUAACCCCCCACAUUGGUACUGAGACACGGACCAAACUCCUACGGGAGGCAGCAG